rnacentral:rRNA from 1 species
CAGUAGCCGCGGUAAAACGAAGGGGGCUAGCGUUGUUCGGAAUUACUGGGCGUAAAGCGCACGCAGGCGGCUCGAUAAAUUAGAAGUGAAAGCCUUGGGCUUAACCUGAGAAUUGCUUUUAAGACUGUCGAGCUAGAAUCCAGAAGAGGGUAGUGGAAUUCCGAGUGUAGAGGUGAAAUUCGUAGAUAUUCGGAAGAACACCAGUGGCGAAGGCGACUACCUGGUCUGGCAUUGACGCUCAUGUGCGAAAGCGUGGGGAGCAAACAGGAUUAGAUACCCCGGUAGUCCCUGUCUCUUAUAC